UACGUAGGGUGCAAGCGUUGUCCGGAAUUAUUGGGCGUAAAGAGCUCGUAGGCGGUUUGUCGCGUCUGCUGUGAAAACUCGGGGCUUAACUCCGGGCCUGCAGUGGGUACGGGCAGACUAGAGUGCGGUAGGGGAGACUGGAAUUCCUGGUGUAGCGGUGAAAUGCGCAGAUAUCAGGAGGAACACCGGUGGCGAAGGCGGGUCUCUGGGCCGAUACUGACGCUGAGGCACGAAAGCGUGGGGAGCAAACAGG
rnacentral:rRNA from 1 species